GGCCCUCUGGGCUGUGGGAGCUCCCAGCUCUCUGCUCACACAGGGCUGAGGUCUCUGGGAAGGCAGGUGUGGUCUAGAAGAUGAGGCUGCUGGGUCUUGUCCUGUGCCUGGUCACAGCUCCCCAAGGUGUCCUAUGCCAAGUGCAGCUACAGGAGUCAGGACCUGGCCUGGUGAAGCCCUCACAGACCUUAUCCCUCACCUGUGCUGUCUCUGGAUUCUCCAUCUCGACUGGUAGUUAUGGUUGGCACUGGAUCCGUCAGCCCCCAGGGAAGGGGCUGGAGUGGAUAGGGGAGAUAUGUUAUAGUGGUAACACUAACUACAGCCCUUCACUCAAGAGCCGAGUGUCCAUCUCCAGAGACACGUCCAAGAACCAGUUCUCCCUGCAGCUGAGCUCCCUGACCACUGAGGACACAGCCACCUAUUACUGUGCCAGAGACACAGUG